AUUGAACGCUGGCGGCAUGCCUUACACAUGCAAGUCGAACGGUAACGGGCCUUCGGGUGCCGACGAGUGGCGAACGGGUGAGUAAUGCAUCGGAACGUACCCAUCAGUGGGGGAUAACUCUCCGAAAGGAGGGCUAAUACCGCAUAUUCUGUGCGCAGGAAAGCGGGGGACCGCAAGGCCUCGCGCUGAUGGAGCGGCCGAUGUCGGAUUAGCUAGUUGGUGGGGUAAAGGCCUACCAAGGCGACGAUCUGUAGCGGGUCUGAGAGGAUGAUCCGCCACACUGGGAUUCAGACACGGCCCAGACUCCUACGGGAGGCAGCAGUGAGGAAUUUUGGACAAUGGGGGCAACCCUGAUCCAGCCAUGCCGCGUGAGCGAAGAAGGCCUUCGGGUUGUAAAGCUCUUUCGGCCGGGAAGAAAUCGCAUCUCCUAAUACGGGGUGUGGAUGACGGUACCGGAAUAAGAAGCACCGGCUAACUACGUGCCAGCAGCCGCAGUAAAAC
rnacentral:rRNA from 1 species